GCUGUGGUUUCAGCCGUGUCAGAACCCGGGCACCGCCCCUGGCGGAACUCCAGGGGGCGCUCUUCACGCAAACAGGGAUGGCUACCACUUGCCCGCUGGGAUGGAACCCUGAGCCUGACUCCCUCAGGGCUUUUCCAGCUGCUGUAUCCCAGGAUGUUCUCACGAUUUGUGUUUAGACGUCAUUCUGGCGGAAGUUAUUGUAUGAAGACGAAAACAAGCAAGCUGGGUGCUACCUCGUGGCAUUUUUACAUUGAGAGAAACAUGAAUAUCUAGGUUAAAGUUGUUGAAAAUGUGUCCUGAAUUGGGUCUACCCAGGCAAAAUGAAGGUACCAGGAGCCUGUGAUGAAAAUCAGUCAUCUCAACUGGGAGUCGUUCCUUAUCAUUCAGCAGAGCCUGAUGUUAACAUUUCCUUCCCUGGAUUUGCUGGAAUCUGUGUGUUCCUUUCAAGUGAUGACAAACUAAUUGCACUGGCUUCCUGUCACCGUCACGAUCUUUCUGCAGUGACUGGAGGAGGUCAAUCUCUCUGACGAGCCAGAUUGCCAGCCUGCUUUUCUUUGCUGACAUGGUCUGGCUCCAUUGCAUUUAACAGUUCUUACUGUAAGUGGUGCUGUUGGACCACUUUCCUCAUGCGCACAUCCGAUCAGCACCAUGCGUGCAUUCGGAGGAUGAUUUGAUAUCCAAAGGAUUGCUCCUUUUGACUAGCAGAAUAAAGUUUCUUCUUCAUACGAUACUCUCUUCCUA
rnacentral:lncRNA from 1 species